rnacentral:rRNA from 1 species
AGUGAACGCUGGCGGUAGGCCUAACACAUGCAAGUCGAACGACAGCACAGGAGAGCUUGCUCUCUGGGUGGCGAGUGGCGGACGGGUGAGGAAUACAUCGGAAUCUACCUUUUCGUGGGGGAUAACGUAGGGAAACUUACGAUAAUACCGCAUACGACCUACGGGUGAAAGUGGGGGACCGCAAGGCCUCCCGCGAUUAGAUGAGCCGAUGUCCGAUUAGCUAGUUGGAGGGGUAAUGGCCCACCAAGGCUACGAUCUGUAGCUGGUCUGGGAGGAUGAUCAGCCACACUCGAACUGAGACACGGUCCAGAAUCAUACGGGAGGCAGAAGUGGGGAAUAUUGGACAAUGGGCGCAAGCCUGAUCCAGCCAUACCGCGUGGGUGAAGAAGGCCUUCGGGUUGUAAAGCCCUUUUGUUGGGAAAGAAAUCCUUUCGAUUAAUACUCGGUGGGGAUGACGGUACCCAAAGAAUAAGCACCGGCUAACUUCGUGCCAGCAGCCGCCGUAACAC